rnacentral:rRNA from 1 species
GACGUAGGGCGCGAGCGUUGUCCGGAUUUAUUGGGCGUAAAGAGCUCGUAGGCGGCUUGUUGCGUCGUCCGUGAAAACUUGUGGCUUAACCACAGGCUGGCGGUCGAUACGGGCAGGCUGGAGUUCGGUAGGGUAGACUGGAAUUCCUGGUGUAGCGGUGAAAUGCGCAGAUAUCAGGAGGAACACCGGUGGCGAAGGCGGGUCUCUGGGCCGAUACUGACGCUGAGGAGCGAAAGCGUGGGGAGCGAACAGG